rnacentral:rRNA from 1 species
GGGUUGUGAGGUUAAGCGACUAAGCGUACACGGUGGAUGCCCUGGCAGUCAGAGGCGAUGAAGGACGUGCUAAUCUGCGAUAAGCGUCGGUAAGGUGAUAUGAACCGUUAUAACCGGCGAUUUCCGAAUGGGGAAACCCAGUGUGUUUCGACACACUAUCAUUAACUGAAUCCAUAGGUUAAUGAGGCGAACCGGGGGAACUGAAACAUCUAAGUACCCCGAGGAAAAGAAAUCAACCGAGAUUCCCCCAGUAGCGGCGAGCGAACGGGGAGCAGCCCAGAGCCUGAAUCAGUGUGUGUGUUAGUGGAAGCGUCUGGAAAGGCGCGCGAUACAGGGUGACAGCCCCGUACACAAAAAUGCACAUGCUGUGAGCUCGAUGAGUAGGGCGGGACACGUGGUAUCCUGUCUGAAUAUGGGGGGACCAUCCUCCAAGGCUAAAUACUCCUGACUGACCGAUAGUGAACCAGUACCGUGAGGGAAAGGCGAAAAGAACCCCGGCGAGGGGAGUGAAAAAGAACCUGAAACCGUGUACGUACAAGCAGUGGGAGCACGCUUAGGCGUGUGACUGCGUACCUUUUGUAUAAUGGGUCAGCGACUUAUAUUCUGUAGCAAGGUUAACCGAAUAGGGGAGCCGAAGGGAAACCGAGUCUUAACUGGGCGUUAAGUUGCAGGGUAUAGACCCGAAACCCGGUGAUCUAGCCAUGGGCAGGUUGAAGGUUGGGUAACACUAACUGGAGGACCGAACCGACUAAUGUUGAAAAAUUAGCGGAUGACUUGUGGCUGGGGGUGAAAGGCCAAUCAAACCGGGAGAUAGCUGGUUCUCCCCGAAAGCUAUUUAGGUAGCGCCUCGUGAAUUCAUCUCCGGGGGUAGAGCACUGUUUCGGCAAGGGGGUCAUCCCGACUUACCAACCCGAUGCAAACUGCGAAUACCGGAGAAUGUUAUCACGGGAGACACACGGCGGGUGCUAACGUCCGUCGUGAAGAGGGAAACAACCCAGACCGCCAGCUAAGGUCCCAAAGUCAUGGUUAAGUGGGAAACGAUGUGGGAAGGCCCAGACAGCCAGGAUGUUGGCUUAGAAGCAGCCAUCAUUUAAAGAAAGCGUAAUAGCUCACUGGUCGAGUCGGCCUGCGCGGAAGAUGUAACGGGGCUAAACCAUGCACCGAAGCUGCGGCAGCGACACUAUGUGUUGUUGGGUAGGGGAGCGUUCUGUAAGCCUGUGAAGGUGUGCUGUGAGGCAUGCUGGAGGUAUCAGAAGUGCGAAUGCUGACAUAAGUAACGAUAAAGCGGGUGAAAAGCCCGCUCGCCGGAAGACCAAGGGUUCCUGUCCAACGUUAAUCGGGGCAGGGUGAGUCGACCCCUAAGGCGAGGCCGAAAGGCGUAGUCGAUGGGAAACAGGUUAAUAUUCCUGUACUUGGUGUUACUGCGAAGGGGGGACGGAGAAGGCUAUGUUGGCCGGGCGACGGUUGUCCCGGUUUAAGCGUGUAGGCUGGUUUUCCAGGCAAAUCCGGAAAAUCAAGGCUGAGGCGUGAUGACGAGGCACUACGGUGCUGAAGCAACAAAUGCCCUGCUUCCAGGAAAAGCCUCUAAGCAUCAGGUAACAUCAAAUCGUACCCCAAACCGACACAGGUGGUCAGGUAGAGAAUACCAAGGCGCUUGAGAGAACUCGGGUGAAGGAACUAGGCAAAAUGGUGCCGUAACUUCGGGAGAAGGCACGCUGAUAUGUAGGUGAAGUCCCUCGCGGAUGGAGCUGAAAUCAGUCGAAGAUACCAGCUGGCUGCAACUGUUUAUUAAAAACACAGCACUGUGCAAACACGAAAGUGGACGUAUACGGUGUGACGCCUGCCCGGUGCCGGAAGGUUAAUUGAUGGGGUCAGCGCAAGCGAAGCUCUUGAUCGAAGCCCCGGUAAACGGCGGCCGUAACUAUAACGGUCCUAAGGUAGCGAAAUUCCUUGUCGGGUAAGUUCCGACCUGCACGAAUGGCGUAAUGAUGGCCAGGCUGUCUCCACCCGAGACUCAGUGAAAUUGAACUCGCUGUGAAGAUGCAGUGUACCCGCGGCAAGACGGAAAGACCCCGUGAACCUUUACUAUAGCUUGACACUGAACAUUGAGCCUUGAUGUGUAGGAUAGGUGGGAGGCUUUGAAGUGUGGACGCCAGUCUGCAUGGAGCCGACCUUGAAAUACCACCCUUUAAUGUUUGAUGUUCUAACGUUGACCCGUGAUCCGGGUUGCGGACAGUGUCUGGUGGGUAGUUUGACUGGGGCGGUCUCCUCCUAAAGAGUAACGGAGGAGCACGAAGGUUGGCUAAUCCUGGUCGGACAUCAGGAGGUUAGUGCAAUGGCAUAAGCCAGCUUGACUGCGAGCGUGACGGCGCGAGCAGGUGCGAAAGCAGGUCAUAGUGAUCCGGUGGUUCUGAAUGGAAGGGCCAUCGCUCAACGGAUAAAAGGUACUCCGGGGAUAACAGGCUGAUACCGCCCAAGAGUUCAUAUCGACGGCGGUGUUUGGCACCUCGAUGUCGGCUCAUCACAUCCUGGGGCUGAAGUAGGUCCCAAGGGUAUGGCUGUUCGCCAUUUAAAGUGGUACGCGAGCUGGGUUUAGAACGUCGUGAGACAGUUCGGUCCCUAUCUGCCGUGGGCGCUGGAGAACUGAGGGGGGCUGCUCCUAGUACGAGAGGACCGGAGUGGACGCAUCACUGGUGUUCGGGUUGUCAUGCCAAUGGCACUGCCCGGUAGCUAAAUGCGGAAGAGAUAAGUGCUGAAAGCAUCUAAGCACGAAACUUGCCCCGAGAUGAGUUCUCCCUGACUCCUUGAGAGUCCUGAAGGAACGUUGAAGACGACGACGUUGAUAGGCCGGGUGUGUAAGCGCAGCGAUGCGUUGAGCUAACCGGUACUAAUGAACCGUGAGGCUUAACCUUACAACGCCGAAG